GGUUUCCCAUUUCAUCAAAUUGUCUUUGACUUGGCCCAACGUUUCCCGACGUUUUUUAUGAAAUAUUUACGGGCCAUUUGCUGCUCUGACGCUGCGCUUGGAAACCGGAAUGCGUCGGAUGGGUGUUUCGCCGCCGCCUCUCUUUGAGGCCAUCUGCCGAGCGCGGCCGUCGGGGCGGGGGCGGGGGUGCGGGGGGGUUACCGACACCCCCCCCCCCCCCGGACGACGCCCCUGGGACGGGGUUCCGCUCGAGCCGCCGGAUCGUCGGACGGGACGCGAGAGAGAAAGGCGGCGCCGGCAGAUCUUCACGGCGCCGGCAUCGAGGCAGCCCGGGCUAGCGCACCGCUAACUGAUUAGCGAUCAGACAGCUGGUGAGUCGGCACGGACGUAUUGGACUUGCUCAGCUGGGCUAGGCGAAGAUCCAGAGUCGCUUUCAGUUCUCAACGGUCUGAAAAAUCCCCCAACCGGCAGAGCUGCGUUGCGGGCACAGUUGGGUGCUCGCUUCUGACAAGAGGCGCAAGUUUGCCGUUGCGUCCGCGAGUCCCGUGAGUGAAAAGGCUUUCCAUCGUCUGGAUAAACGCCGUCGCUGAGAUCCGGCGGGAUGGAGAAACGCUCAGGCUCCGCCCCUGUUGUCUCGGAUACCAUCGGCCCAGCUGUGUUUCCCGGUCCAAACAAAGGUUCCGCCAUCUGGUCUGGGCUAAAAUUCCUGCGCUUUAUCGAGAGGACGCUUCAGUCGGCUGUCUUGCACGUCUUGCGCUCGUUUUGUUCCCCAAAUGGACGUCAAACUCCAAGUUGAGCGUUUUUGCGUGUACCCAGUCCGAAAGGUCGUUUCAACAGGAAGUAAUCAGCAAGGUGGUCGCGCGCCAAGCUACACGCGCGGCGGGACGUCGAUUGGGAGCGCGCGAUUGUCGCCGCUGAGAACCUUCAAGUCGGGCCAGGCGCCGGACGGCCGCUUUGUUUGCUCAGCUCCUCCCGGCCGGGUCGUAAAAAUCGAGCCGAUAACCCGACGGGCCUCGCCUUCUUUCUUCUUCUUUAAUGUCUCCCGCGGGCCGCCAUCGCGCGCUGGCCUUUCUUUUCCACAAAUGCGUCACUUCCUCCGCAACGCGGACGUCGACGCCGAGGCCCGAGAAUGUGCGGAGGUCGUUUCGACUCCGCCCUUGGCGUCAGAACGGCUCAGCGAGUCCCGUUUCCUUCGGAAUCGUUUUGAGUCGCAUUUCGACGACGGCCGGCUCGUGGG